rnacentral:ncRNA from 1 species
GCUUGAUAAUGGCAAACCUACCGAAAGGUAGCGGCGCAAAACUACUGGCCUAACCUCCAUACAAACGGAGCACGGUCGCAGGGUCGCCAAG